CCGGCUUUUUAUCUUGAAACUAGUUCAUUUCGGAAGUUAUUACCAUGUUUAGAAACAUGAACAAAAAUAUCCUCCUGCUGCUCCUUUGUGCCUGUGGGUUGCUUUCUCUUAGCAUCCUCGCCGGUGCUGCUGUAGGUUAUGGUGCUGGUAAUGGCAAAAUCUUUGAUAUAACUCACAAAAUCACAUCCGAGUUGCCAAUUUUUAACUCAAAGAACGGGCUGGGUCACUUCAUUCGGCUUGUUUCAAGCAUUAAGAAUGGAUCCUUGGCUAAUGAAUCUGAGUUUAAGUUGGGAACCCACACUGGCACUCAUGUUGAUGCCCCUGGCCACUUCUUCCAAAAGUAUUAUGAGGAGGGCUUUGAUGUUACUACUCUUAGCCUGCAAACACUUAAUGGUCCUGCUCUAGUUGUUGAUGUUCCAAGAAACCAGAACAUUACUGCUGAAGUCAUGAAGUCGUUGAAUAUUCCCCGCGGUGUACAUCGUGUGCUUUUCAGAACACUUAAUACUGACAGGAGGCUGAUGCAUAAAACAAAGUUUGCUUCAGACUUCACUGGGUUUAAGAAGGAAGGGGCACAGUGGUUGGUCGAUAACACCGACAUCAAACUUGUUGGACUUGAUUACCUAUCUGUUGCUGCCUAUGUUGAUGCCGCCCCAACUCACCUUAUAUUCCUGAGAAGCAGGGAAAUUGUUCUAGUCGAAGGUCUAACCUUGAUGGAAUCGAGACAGGGAAGUAUGGUUCAUUGCCUACCGCUAAGGAUGGUUGAUGCAGAUGGAUGCCCAGCAAGAUGCAUUCUUAUUGCAUAAAACAAUGCCCUGAAGUAAGUUCUUCCACCAUCGGAACCAGAAACGGAAACUUUUAAGGAGAUGAGGACAGGCAUGAACUAUUGAGCUAUCUUGGACAAGUUGCUUUACAGUAUUUUUCAAUAAGAACACUUUGGGGUUGGUUAAAACUUGUUUGUGGGUACCUUAGAUCUAGGGCUUAAUCCCCUUCUCCGAUAUUUAAAAUUCGAUAUGAG